AGGUUACUGCUAUCGGUGUUCGCCUAAGCCAUGCGAGUCAUAUGUUCUUCGUGAACAUGGCGUACUGCUCAGUAACACGUGGAUAACCUGCCCUUGGGUCUGGGAUAACCCCGGGAAACUGGGGAUAAUACCGGAUAACGCAUAUAUGCUGGAAUGCUUUAUGCGUAAAAUGGAUUCGUCUGCCCAAGGAUGGGUCUGCGGCCUAUCAGGUAGUAGUGGGUGUAAUGUACCUACUAGCCUACAACGGGUACGGGUUGUGAGAGCAAGAGCCCGGAGAUGGAUUCUGAGACAUGAAUCCAGGCCCUACGGGGCGCAGCAGGCACGAAAACUUUACAAUGCGGAAACCGUGAUAAGGGGACACCGAGUGCCAGCAUCAUAUGCUGGCUGUCCAGAUGUGUAAAAUACAUCUGUUAGCAAGGGCCGGGCAAGACCGGUGCCAGCCGCCGCGGUAACACCGGCGGCCCGAGUGGUGAUCGUGAUUAUUGGGUCUAAAGGGUCCGUANCCCGGUUUGGUCAGUCCUCCGGGAAAUCUGAUGGCUCAACCAUUUAGCUUUCGGGGGAUACUGCCAGGCUUGGAACCGGGAGA
rnacentral:rRNA from 1 species